UAUAAUAAGAUGAAAAAAGGAAGGCAAAAAACCUGAAAACCAACACAAGACCAUAAUAUAAUUCCUUGUCGAUUUAAGUCCUACCCAACCCAACCGCCAUCAUAUCUUUAGUUGUUCCAAGCUCUUUACUGCUUCAAAUUCUUGCAGGUCAUUGGCAGUUGCACUUCCAGUUUCCUCUACAUGAGCUGGUGAUUUAGUUGGCAGGGAAGGCAAUGAAGCAGCUGAUGGAUCUUCUUUUCGAACAACUAGAGGAUCUUCUUUUCGUACUGGUGGAGCAGCAAAAACUGGAACAGCUUGCCUAACACAAACUGGUGGGGCAAUUCGCAUGUGUGGAGCCCGAAUCACCUGAGGGG
rnacentral:lncRNA from 1 species